CAAGUUUUCUACUCUAUUAUUUUCGAGCUUCUUCUCUCUUGUUCAUCAAUUUACAGAAGUUUACAAUGAUAACAUAUUAUACGGGGGUACGUUGGUGCAGGUGAAGUUGGAAAUGGAUAGAUGACUUUGUAAAGCCAUUGUUUUACCCACCAUUGGCGAUGCUUCUCAUAGUCGUUGGUUAGCAGACUACUCUCCAAUAUAGUUCAUCGUUAUCAGGUGACCACAUCCAUCGUAUGAUCGCAUCUCUGGAGGAGUAGAUGCAGAUAGUUGAAACGUUUAUGUUUCAAGUACUCUUUAACAUAUACAGUAGGCGGUCGAAUAUUUCUUAAGACUUCUGUAAGUAAUAAAACAAUGUCCUCCACUAUGAUUAAUGAUGAUAAUUUAAUUAAAGUUCUUUAAUUUCUGGGUGGAAAAUAAUUAAUUAAUACAAAGUCUCAAGUCCAAAUUGUCUAAAUCCACAUAACAAUCACUCACUAUAAUCGUUUUGUAGGUGCACUGUUUUAAUAUUAUCAAGGAA
rnacentral:lncRNA from 1 species